UUGCUGCUUUGCUGACGAGUGGCGGACGGGUGAGUAAUGUCUGGGAAACUGCCUGAUGGAGGGGGAUAACUACUGGAAACGGUAGCUAAUACCGCAUAACGUCGCAAGACCAAAGAGGGGGACCUUCGGGCCUCUUGCCAUCGGAUGUGCCCAGAUGGGAUUAGCUAGUAGGUGGGGUAACGGCUCACCUAGGCGACGAUCCCUAGCUGGUCUGAGAGGAUGACCAGCCACACUGGAACUGAGACACGGUCCAGACUCCUACGGGAGGCAGCAGUGGGGAAUAUUGCACAAUGGGCGCAAGCCUGAUGCAGCCAUGCCGCGUGUAUGAAGAAGGCCUUCGGGUUGUAAAGUACUUUCAGCGGGGAGGAAGGGAGUAAAGUUAAUACCUUUGCUCAUUGACGUUACCCGCAGAAGAAGCACCGGCUAACUCCGUGCCAGCAGCCGCGGUAAUACGGAGGGUGCAAGCGUUAAUCGGAAUUACUGGGCGUAAAGCGCACGCAGGCGGUUUGUUAAGUCAGAUGUGAAAUCCCCGGGCUCAACCUGGGAACUGCAUCUGAUACUGGCAAGCUUGAGUCUCGUAGAGGGGGGUAGAAUUCCAGGUGUAGCGGUGAAAUGCGUAGAGAUCUGGAGGAAUACCGGUGGCGAAGGCGGCCCCCUGGACGAAGACUGACGCUC
rnacentral:rRNA from 3 species